CAGCCGCCGCGGGAAUACGAAGGGUGCAAGCGUUAAUCGGAAUUACUGGGCGUAAAGCGUGCGUAGGCGGUUUGUUAAGUCUGCUGUGAAAUCCCCGGGCUCAACCUGGGAAUGGCAGUGGAUACUGGCAAGCUAGAGUGUGUCAGAGGAUGGUGGAAUUCCCGGUGUAGCGGUGAAAUGCGUAGAGAUCGGGAGGAACAUCAGUGGCGAAGGCGGCCAUCUGGGACAACACUGACGCUGAGGCACGAAAGCGUGGGGAGCAAACAGGAUUAGAUACCCCUGUAGUCCCUGUCUCUUAUAA
rnacentral:rRNA from 1 species